rnacentral:rRNA from 1 species
ACGUACACUCCUGCGGGAGGCAGCAGUGGGGAAUAUUGGACAAUGGGCGAAAGCCUGAUCCAGCAAUGCCGCGUGAGUGAUGAAGGCCUUAGGGUUGUAAAGCUCUUUUACCCGGGAUGAUAAUGACAGUACCGGGAGAAUAAGCCCCGGCUAACUCCGUGCCAGCAGCCGCGGUAAUACGGAGGGGGCUAGCGUUGUUCGGAAUUACUGGGCGUAAAGCGCGCGUAGGCGGCUUUGUAAGUUAGAGGUGAAAGCCCGGAGCUCAACUUCGGAAUUGCCUUUAAGACUGCAUCGCUAGAAUCGUGGAGAGGUGAGUGGAAUUCCGAGUGUAGAGGUGAAAUUCGUAGAUAUUCGGAAGAACACCAGUGGCGAAGGCGACUCACUGGACACGUAUUGACGCUGAGGUGCGAAAGCGUGGGGAGCAAACAGGAUUAGAAACCCUUGUAGUCCC